rnacentral:ncRNA from 1 species
ACGCCGUCCCGAGCGGCGUCCGCCGCCUCGAACGGGUCGGCAGCGGGGGUGGUGCCGUGUCGGCGCAGCACCACCCCCGCCUC